rnacentral:lncRNA from 1 species
CCUGACAUAAUGCAAUAGAAUUGCAUAAGUUUCCAUCACUAAUGAAGAAAAAUAAACUUUAUGCAUGACAAAAAUAAUUCUGAAUUCAACACUCUAAUUUACCCUGACACUCCAAAAAUAAACUCUAAAAUGUGUUAACAAAUUAAAAUUUCCUCCCCAUCCAUACACUCCCAAAACACCAACUAAAAAUUACUCAAUUAUGAAAACUUACUGGUGGAUUUUCUCAUUAUGAAAAACAACCCGAAUAAAGACCCCAAAUCAUCUUCAUCCCCUGCUUCUUAAAUAACCAUACUUAAAGCUAAAUUUACAUGGCUAACGGUGUCCAUUGAUCCCAUCCUUGAAUGUAACAAUUAGAAAAAUCAGAAGCAGUCAGCACCUCCUCUCCAAAAAAAAUCCCUGCAACCACGAGCUAUCCUAUUAACUAGCCUCCAGAAUAAAACUAUUAAACACUAUAUUCACCAUAGGUCAUAUCCACACGCAAACAAAUACAGAGACAGGCACAUAUUCACUAUCUAAUAAAAGAACCAGUUUCUGCUUAAAACUUCUGGUAAAAAAAAAUUACUAGGUACUGAUACCGUUCGCAAGAUGCUUUCUGCCCCAAAAAGAUCUUCCAUCAAUUUCCUGAUUCUGCCUGCAUGACAGAUUUCUACAAGGGGCUUCUCCUAACCACACAAUUCAUCUUUAUCUAUCCUCGUCUUUUCUUGCAAAUAUUCAUCCUCAGAGUUUUCAUCUAGCCAUUUAACUAGGAUUUAGAUAACAUGAUAUGGCAAAAAUUAAGAUGAACACAUGCACCGAGUCUGAAUUGCUGCACUGAGCUCCCUAUCUCUCACCAUGGGGUUACUUGAGAUACCUUACAAUUACAUAAUAAUAAAACCACAAGUUAUGGGUAGUAAUUUUCGUAUAUGCUAUUGCCAAAUUCCUGAAUCCAGUCCUGUUAAUUGGCACUUCCACAAUAAAAUAUAUUUGUUUCAGUGAGCCUUGAAAGAAGAAACCAUGCAACGGUUGAAUGAUUAUGUAACAGUUGUACUUAGCAUCAAACAAAUGAACGAACAAUGAAUCGAUAGAGAC